CAAUUGUUUUUAUAACAGUAAAAAAUAAAACUGUAUUUUUCGUCAUACCAAAAACUUAUUUUCUUUAUUCACACUUUUCAUAUUCCCAAUUGUAUUCUUCUUUAAAAGCCUCUUCACACUGUAUUUUAAUUUUCCCUUCUUUGUUGCCAUAAAAAUAGCAACACAAAUUGAUGCGAACGGCGUAUCUUUCGCGUUCUGUGGUGGCGUGUGGUCCGCCUCUUUAGAGCGUUUAUUUCAUGUCGUCGAACGUUUUCGACAUUGAGGCGUUGGCGGUUGUUCGCGGAUUGCUCAUCAGUGCUUGUUGCCAUUAUUGUUUUGCGGCAAAUGCGGGCGCACUUUUUUAAUUGAUGUAUUGAGCCCUGUAUCAACAUGAGAAAGUGUGUGUGUGUGUGUGUGGGAAAGUGACUGACAGCGGAGCUGAGUGAUCAAAAAUUCGAGUAGCUGCGGUACGUCAACAAAAUACAAGUGGUUGCGGCCACUCGCUUGCGCUCAGCGAAUCUAGCGGCUCUAUUUGGAUUCAGUAUACAACGAAGCGUGCUCGCAGCUGCAAGUAUUUACAUACAAGCGUGUUUUUUUUUCGUCAAAGUUUUCGAAUUUUGCGGGAAUAUAGUAAAUCCGCCAUACAAUUAUGGUCCAGCCGCAACAAAAGCUACCCAUCGUUCCGCAGCCAACUUACUUUGCUGUAGGUCCCCAACCACAUGAGGUCACCUGCCCUUACUGUAAGGCAACGGCUAAGACCGUAAUGCAGCGUCCGAUACUGCGCUGCUUCAGCCGCCGUCAUUAUUGCUCCGAGUGUGGUGAAUACUUGGGCACCUAUCGGCGGCCGCAACUAUGAGUUGAGUAGGUUUCUCGCCAGCCACCGAUUGGAUUGUAAACAAACUAUAUAUUUAUGUGUGUAAUUUUUUAUAUUUAUUCAUGUGUUUGUAUACUUUCAAGUUUUCCUCAAUAUUUAGCACAAUUUUCUGGCUAUAAAUUCUAAUCAAAAUAAUAAUAAUGAAACCUUAUUUUAAUUGUACUCUGGCAUAUAAGUAUAUGUAUAUAGAACUCUCGUAAAUAAAUGAAAUGUAAACAAAAACCGCA